rnacentral:rRNA from 1 species
UACGUAGGGUGCGAGCGUUAAUCGGAAUUACUGGGCGUAAAGCGUGCGCAGGCGGUGAGCUGUGUCCGAUGUGAAAGCCCCGGGCUUAACCUGGGAAUGGCAUUGGAAACUGGCUCGCUGGAGUGUGGCAGAGGGGGGUGGAAUUCCACGUGUAGCAGUGAAAUGCGUAGAGAUGUGGAGGAACACCGAUGGCGAAGGCAGCCCCCUGGGUUAACACUGACGCUCAGGCACGAAAGCGUGGGUAGCAAACAGG